rnacentral:rRNA from 1 species
ACUCCUGCGGGAGGCAGCAGUGGGGAAUUUUGGACAAUGGGCGAAAGCCUGAUCCAGCCAUGCCGCGUGCAGGAUGAAGGCCUUCGGGUUGUAAACUGCUUUUGUACGGAACGAAACGGCCUUUUCUAAUAAAGAGGGCUAAUGACGGUACCGUAAGAAUAAGCACCGGCUAACUACGUGCCAGCAGCCGCGGUAAUACGUAGGGUGCAAGCGUUAAUCGGAAUUACUGGGCGUAAAGCGUGCGCAGGCGGUUAUGUAAGACAGUUGUGAAAUCCCCGGGCUCAACCUGGGAACUGCAUCUGUGACUGCAUAGCUAGAGUACGGUAGAGGGGGAUGGAAUUCCGCGUGUAGCAGUGAAAUGCGUAGAUAUGCGGAGGAACACCGAUGGCGAAGGCAAUCCCCUGGACCUGUACUGACGCUCAUGCACGAAAGCGUGGGGAGCAAACAGGAUUAGAUACCCGUGUAGUCCCA